UAAGGAAUAUUGCACAAUGGGCGAAAGCCUGAUGCAGCAACGCCGCGUGAGUGAUGAAGGCCUUCGGGUUGUAAAGCUCUGUCUUUUGGGACGAUAAUGACGGUACCAAAGGAGGAAGCCACGGCUAACUACGUGCCAGCAGCCGCGGUAAUACGUAGGUGGCAAGCGUUGUCCGGAAUUACUGGGCGUAAAGAAUGCGUAGGUGGAUAUGCAAGUCAGAUGUGAAAUACCCGGGCUCAACUUGGGUGCUGCAUUUGAAACUAUAUAUCUAGAGUGCAGGAGAGGAAAGCGGAAUUCUUAGUGUAGCGGUGAAAUGCGUAGAGAUUAGGAAGAACACCAGUGGCGAAGGCGGCUUUCUGGACUGUAACUGACACUGAGGCAUGAAAGCGUGGGGAGCAAACA
rnacentral:rRNA from 1 species